AGAACCGAGAUUCGAAUGCAGACGACCGGACGCGAUGAAAUUUAGGGGUGACCUUGAACAGUUUGUGAUCAUGGCACAAGAACAUGGAGGCGCCAUCAUUCUGUCACGUUUCCUUUCGUCACACAAGCAAGUUUAGAGGUGACCUUGAACAGUUCACAAGAACCUGAAGGGCGCCUUGAUUCAUGGAUUCAUGCACGCUUUCGUUCAUCACAAGCAAUGAAGUUUAGAAGUGAUCACAAGAAACAUGGAGGAUGGAGGGCGCCAUCACUAAGUCAUUUUUUUUCACCACCGAAGAGCAAUGAAGUUUAGAGGUGACCUUGAAGUCAAAAACACAACAACCAAGAAGGGCAUCAUCACUCGCUCCAGUUUGCACGUGGACACAAGCACAGUGAGG